GGGGGCGAAAGGACUUCGACACGGAACGGAGGUUUAAAUCUGCAGGUGAGGUUUGAGGGAACCUCUUAAAACCCUCAAGAAGAAAAAAUGCCAACACAAACUAUGCAUAUGCAGUAGCUUAAUCUCUACUGCCGGUUAGGUGAGCUGGCCUGUCUCCUUGCCCUCAUCUAACCGACGCCAAAAGGAGACCUGCCUUCACCUGCUCCUCAGGGGUGAAGGUUGAAUCUACUGAGGAUACGCUCUCCUUCCUCUGCCUGUGGAGGAAGAAGAGAAGAGAAAGACUCACAGGCUAAGCCUGUAGAAGAUUUAAACUGAACUUCCGUGGACGCGGGUUCGAUUCCCGCCGCCUCCACCA
rnacentral:tmRNA from 1 species